GACGAACGCUGGCGGCGUGCUUAACACAUGCAAGUCGAACGGAAAGGCCCCCAUCUUGGUGGGGGUGCUCGAGUGGCGAACGGGUGAGUCACACGUGGGUGAUCUGCCCUGUACUUCGGGAUAAGCUUGGGAAACUGGGUCUAAUACCGGAUAGGACCAUGGUUUAGUGUCUCAUGGUGGAAAGAUUAUUGUUUUGGUGCAGGAUGAGCUCGCGGCCUAUCAGCUUGUUGGUGGGGUAAUGGCCUACCAAGGCGUCGACGGGUAGCCGGCCUGAGAGGGUGGACGGCCACAUUGGGACUGAGAUACGGCCCAGACGCGUACGGGAGGCAGCAGUGGGGAAUAUUGCACAAUGGGCGCAAGCCUGAUGCAGCGACGCCGCGUGGGGGAUGACGGCAUUCGGGUUGUAAACUCCUUGCGUUAGGGACGAAGCCGCACUUUUCUUGGGUGUGGUGACGGUACCUUUGUGAAGAAGCACCGGCUAACUACGUG
rnacentral:rRNA from 1 species